rnacentral:rRNA from 1 species
GAUGAACGCUGGCGGCGUGCCUAAUACAUGCAAGUCGAGCGAACAGACGAGGAGCUUGCUCCUCUGACGUUAGCGGCGGACGGGUGAGUAACACGUGGAUAACCUACCUAUAAGACUGGGAUAACUUCGGGAAACCGGAGCUAAUACCGGAUAAUAUAUUGAACCGCAUGGUUCAAUAGUGAAAGACGGUUUUGCUGUCAUUUAUAGAUGGAUCCGCGCCGCAUUAGCUAGUUGGUAAGGUAACGGCUUACCAAGGCGACGAUGCGUAGCCGACCUGAGAGGGUGAUCGGCCACACUGGAACUGAGACACGGUCCAGACUCCUACGGGAGGCAGCAGUAGGGAAUCUUCCGCAAUGGGCGAAAGCCUGACGGAGCAACGCCGCGUGAGUGAUGAAGGUCUUCGGAUCGUAAAACUCUGUUAUUAGGGAAGAACAAAUGUGUAAGUAACUAUGCACGUCUUGACGGUACCUAAUCAGAAAGCCACGGCUAACUACGUG